UACGAAGGGGGCUAGCGUUGCUCGGAUUACUGGGCGUAAAGCGCACGUAGGCGGAUCGAUCAGUCAGGGGUGAAAUCCCAGAGCUCAACUCUGGAACUGCCUUUGAUACUGUCGAUCUGGAGUAUGGAAGAGGUGAGUGGAAUUCCGAGUGUAGAGGUGAAAUUCGUAGAUAUUCGGAGGAACACCAGUGGCGAAGGCGGCUACCUGGCCCAAUACUGACACUCAGGUGCGACAGCGUGGGGAGCAAACAGG
rnacentral:rRNA from 1 species